rnacentral:rRNA from 1 species
CCUACGGGAGGCAGCAGUGAGGAAUAUUGGACAAUGGACGAGAGUCUGAACCAGCCAAGUAGCGUGAAGGAUGACUGCCCUAUGGGUUGUAAACUUCUUUUAUAUGGGAAUAAAAUGUUCCACGUGUGCGCUUUUGUAUGUACCUUAUGAAUAAGGAUCGGCUAACUCCGUGCCAGCAGACGCGGUAAUACGGAGGGUCCGAGCGUUAUCCGGAUUUAUUGGGUGUAAAGGGAGCGUAGGUGGGUUGUUAAGUCAGUUGUGAAAGUUUGCGGCUCAACCGUAAAAUUGCAGUUGAAACUGGCAGUCUUGAGUACAGUAGAGGUGGGCGGAAUUCGUGGUGUAGCGGUGAAAUGCUUAGAUAUCACGAAGAACACCGAUUGCGAAGGCAGCUCACUGGACUGCAACUGACACUGAGGCACGAAAGUGUGGGUAUCAAACAGGAUUAGAUACCCUAGUAGUC